rnacentral:piRNA from 1 species
UUCAGCCCAGACAGCUUGUGUGUGUGU